rnacentral:rRNA from 1 species
CCAUACCAUGCUGAAUAUACCGGUUCUCGUUAGAUCACCGAAGUCAAGCAUCAUUGGGCGCGGUCAGUACUUGGGUGGGGGACCACCUGGGAACACCGCGUGCCGCUG